rnacentral:rRNA from 1 species
GUCAGGAUGAACGCUAGCGACAGGCCUAACACAUGCAAGUCGAGGGGCAGCACAAGGAGCAAUCUGAGGUGGCGACCGGCGCACGGGUGAGUAACACGUAUGCAACCUGCCUGUAAGCGGGGAAUAACCCGUUGAAAGAACGGACUAAUACCGCAUAAUACUAAAUUACUGCAAUGGUAAUUUAUUUUAAACAUUUAUGGCUUACAGAUGGGCAUGCGCAUGAUUAGCUAGUUGGAGAGGUAACGGCUCCCCAAGGCAACGAUCAUUAGGGGUUCUGAGAGGAAGGUCCCCCACACUGGUACUGAGACACGGACCAGACUCCUACGGGAGGCAGCAGUGAGGAAUAUUGGUCAAUGGACGAGAGUCUGAACCAGCCAAGUCGCGUGCAGGAAGAAAUGUCCUAUGGAUUGUAAACUGCUUUUGCAGGGGAAUAAAGUGCAUCACGUGUGAUGUUUUGUAUGUACUCUGCGAAUAAGGAUCGGCUAACUCCGUGCCAGCCGCGGC